rnacentral:rRNA from 1 species
AUGGCGCCGACGUCUCCGAGCUCCGCGCCUCGUCUCCUCCUCGCGCUCUCCCUCAGCCUCCUCCUCACCAGCGCGCACCAGCUGACGGCGCCAACGCCGCCCGCGCCGUCCAAGGCGACGGCUGCCGGCAUUUCGCCCGAGCUCGUCUCCACGUUGCAGGAGGCUCUGGGCGCGAUCAAGGACGUCGCGUCCAUCGUCUCCUCCUUCCCUAUCGUCGGCGGCGUCCUUGGCGGCGAUGACCUCCGCCUCUCCUCUGCCAUCAACGACUGCCUCGACCUGCUCGACCUCUCCUCCGACGAGCUGUCCUGGUCGAUGUCCGCCGCUUCGCCGUCGACCGCGGGCGCGGGGGCCGCCGGCCGCGUCGGCACGGGCGACGCGCAGGCCGACCUCCGUGCGUGGCUCAGCGGCGCACUCGGCAACCAGGACACCUGCAAGGACGGCCUCGACGACACCGACUCCGUGCUAGGCUCGCUCGUCUCCACGGGCCUCCAGGCCGUCACGUCCCUGCUGGGCGGCGGGCUCGGCCAGGUCGCCGCCGGCGAGGAAGCCGCGUCGUCCGCCCGCACCAGUGGUCACCGGGGGCGCGGCCUCGGCCAGGGGGCUCACCACCCGCACUGGCUGGGCGGCAGGGAGCGCCGGCUUCUGCAGAUGCGGGUGGGUCCGGGCGGAAUGCCGGUGGACGCGGUGGUGGCGCAGGACGGGAGCGGCAACCACACGACUGUCCAGGCCGCCCUGGACGCGGCGCCGUCGGAGCGCGACGAUGGCCGGUACGUCAUCUACGUGAAGCGCGGCGUGUACAGGGAGACGGUGGAGGUGAAGAAGAAGAAGUGGAACGUGAUGUUGGUCGGCGACGGCAUGGGCGCCACCGUGAUCUCCGGCCGGCUGAACUACGUCGACGGCUACUCCACCUUCCGCACCGCCACCGUCGCUGUGGUUGGCAAGGGUUUCAUCGCGCGGGACAUGACGUUCGAGAACACGGCGGGGCCGGCCAAGCACCAGGCGGUGGCGCUGCGGUGCGACUCGGACUUGUCCGUCUUCUACCGAUGCGCCUUUGAAGGCCACCAGGACACGCUAUACGCGCACUCGCUCCGCCAGUUCUAUCGCGACUGCAACAUCGCUGGCACUGUCGACUUCGUCUUUGGCAACGCCGCCGCCGUCUUUCAGAAUUGCCACCUCCUUGCCCGCGCGCCGCUGCCGGGCCAGAAGAACUCCGUCACUGCGCAGGGUCGCUUCAACGCCUCCAUGAACUCCGGCUUCGCCUUCCAGUUCUGCAACGUCUCCGCGCACGACGACCUCCUUCGAGCCCAGGUAAACCAGACCGACAAGGCCGUCGCCACGCAGACCUUCCUGGGGCGGCCGUGGAAGGCGUACUCGCGGGUGGUGUUCAUGCAGUCCUACAUCGGCACUGUGGUCCGGCCCGAGGGGUGGCUCGCGUGGGACGACAACCAGUCCACGCUUGGCACGCUCUACUACGGUGAGUACAUGAACACAGGGCCUGGCGCCGGCAUCGGCGGCAGGGUGAGGUGGCCGGGCUACCACGUGACGAUGAGCCCUGCCGAGGCCAGCAACUUCACCGUGGCGCAGUUCAUCGAGGGCAACAUGUGGCUGCCGCCCACGGGCGUCAGGUUCACGUCUGGGCUGCUCGCUUCUUGA